AUACGGAGGGUGCAAACGUUGUUCGGAAUUACUGGGCGUAAAGCGCGCGUAGGCGGUUUGUUAAGUCAGAUGUGAAAGCCCAAGGCUCGACCUUGGACGUGCAUUUGAAACUGGCAGACUUGAGUACUGGAGGGGAUGGUGGAAUUCCCGGUGUAGAGGUGAAAUUCGUAGAUAUCGGGAGGAAUACCGGUGGCGAAGGCGACCAUCUGGCCAGAUACUGACGCUGAGGUGCGAAAGCAUGGGGAGCAAACAGGAUUAGAAACCCGAGUAGUCC
rnacentral:rRNA from 1 species